UGUCGGUUAAAUACCGACCUGCAUGAAUGGCGUAACGAGAUGGGAGCUGUCUCAACCAGAGAUUCAGUGAAAUUGUAGUGGAGGUGAAAAUUCCUCCUACCCGCGGCAAGACGGCAAGACCCCGUGGACCUUUACU
rnacentral:rRNA from 1 species